GCACUGGGUGACAUUUGUUACAUAGAAUCUCAAUUUCUACUAGUAACAUACGUCAAAGUUAGUGAAUUAACCUACAGAUCAACUUAGAGUAACUGUAGGGCAUUACUCCACGAGAAUUACCAACCAGCUAUUGUCAGUGAUUCAUGAAUCACGUGACUUCGUAUUCAAUAUUAAUCUAUUGCUAACUGAAUAAAAUUACUAAACAGUACUUACUUAUGUGUGACAUUGUCAUUUUCGUUAGCAAUGGGCAUUACGGAUUAUGAAAAAUGCGGUUGUUAUUGGUUUAAUGUUAAUAAUAUUAGAUGUCGCAUAGACCAAAGUUAGUGAAUAGGCCAGCAGUUUGAAAACAAUCAAUAAGUUCAAUGUUAGACAUGCCAUAAUAAUAAGUAAGGAACAUUGAGUUACUUUGUACUACGUACUAGAGAAGCUAUUCCAUACGAAAAUCAUGUCGAUUACUGUCUGAAGUGUUCUCUGCAAAGUUAUAACGGUAAGUCUUCCCGUACUAUUAAAAUAUGCAACGUUAAUCGCUUUAAGAAUAUUAUAUAUUUCUUGCGACCAAAAGAAAGAAAGCAAAAUACGUUUAUUUUAAAUUUGUGCCAUACUAGUAUAAUAUGAUGUCUCAACCGCUUGGAGACUAAACCUAGUAGUAACUUUAAAAAAAGUUAUGGCAAAACAUCGUAAGCUUCUUGAUUAAUAUGGCACUUACGCCUUACACUCAAAAUAGUAAGCUAGCAAGAAACUAUGAAUUGCGGCGAUUUCGCCACAGAUGGAACGCAGUAGCAACGACUCAUGUGUUCUCUAGUACGUGGAAGGUACAUAAUAACUCAAUGGUAAUGAAUCACAAUAACAGUUAUUUGUACUAACAUAUCAAAAUAAGAAAAAUAUCCACAUAUCUUUGAAAUCUUUCUGGAUAUACCUACUGAAAGAAUAUCAUACAAUUUUGAUAACUAUUGUGUGUACCUAGAACAUAAUAUUAUGAUAGUGAUACUCGUAUUCCAUGAAGUGAUAUCGUUCAGUAUCAUCUCAUUAUCGUUUAAGCCUAGUUCGGACUACUUUAGUAUUGUAGUCGAGUACUAACUAUUUUUGGGUGAUAGCCAAGUAGUCUAGUAUGCUACUCGACUAAACUGCUAUAGUACUCUAGUCCGAACUAGUCCUUACCCAAAGUUAAGUCGGCAAAAUAUGUCAUUCUCUUCCAUUCGCUUCUUGCACUCGCUCUCUAUCAUACGUCUACCUACUCAUACUCCUUUUGCUUUAUUUUCCUUUUUGGUCUAGGCGACUAACGCGACACACACAGACACAGACUUCAACCACGUUUGAGUUCUCCUCUUGUGAUAUUAUUAUUGACCAAUAAAAUACCUUGUAAUUAUUUUUUAACUUUGGCAAAUUGACGUUAUAGCACGUUUUCAAUGGAUAUUUUUUUAUAUUCUGUGACUGUGAACAUUUCUGUUCUUUACCAUUAUACCAUAGCUAUCAUAACAUUACCCUCCAUUCGUCAUAAUCCUGCCGUUUAUACUGUUAAAUAUUUGUAUAUUUGUUGUCAUUAGUACCUAUUUAUAUAAAUUUGUUGUUACCUAAUAUAAAGUAAAAUUCAUAUACACAAAUCUAUAAAUAGUUAUGUAAAAGUAGAAUCUGUUGUGUAAGAUUCCAUACCCAUUCAAAUAGGAGAAAAAGAGAUAGAUUGCAAUGCACUGUAAAGCCCGAUUUACACUCGCGCCGCGUUCUGUGAAUGUAAACAAUAGAAGUUAUUCAUUAUUUUCAAAAUCUUUUGCAAAUGCGUCAACAGCCGUAGUUAUUCUCGUUGGAGUGUGCUAACUAAAUCUGGAAAUUUUGAGAGUGUGGGUACUUACCCGUGAGGAAACGCGUUUGUGCGUAGUGUGGACUUGACAAUCAGCAUACUCGUUAGGUCGUCGACUCUACCCUAGCUGAUAGAAAAGAAAGUUCCUAUCGCUAAGGAUCAGCAAUCAGGUAGCAUUUUCGUAAAAAAAAAUUACGAUACUUCAAAAAAAGCCGAGUGAUAUCCGAUAUAAUUAAGUAAAAAAAUAUUUUUAACUUAAACGAUUGACCUCAUCAAUCUAGGGUACCCACUGUUCAGCCAACACAAUAAAAAUGUUUUGUCCACCUUUUUCGCUAUCUAUCUAUCCCUUUUUCAUCUACUUAUUCACAUCAUCGUUCAUAGAAUGCCUACUUCGGACUACUUUAGUCAAGUACGAACGAUUUUUAGAAACACUGCCCAAAAAUCGUUAGUAAUCGACUAAAAUACUAAAGUAGUCCGAACUAGGCCUAAUACAUAACAAUACUAUUAUAAUCAACGAUGACAAUAAAAAAUCGUCUUGGAAUUGCCUAUUUUAAAAAUAUGCUUAGCUAAAUAAAAAAAGGCAAUGAUACUAGAAAAAGAUAAAGAUAAACUUAUUAGUUAUUCUUAUAUAAUUAUUAUAUUGACUAUAUUGUAGGUAAAGAAUUUUAUUAGCGAUUUUUAGACUGUUUUUAUGACAAUUAUUUAAAGAUUUUAAAUGACAAUAACGAAUAAACAAAAGACAAUAAAAUAAUUCCUGAAUAAAAAUAGAAUAAUGUUAUAUUAAAACGAGAACACUAAUGGCUCCCUUACACGGUACCUACACCGUCGGCCAUGAGGGACGUAAACAAACAUGUAGAGGGCAAAAACUGAGUCGGUACCGGUUUUCCGGUCAAUAGCAAUCAUCAAAAACAAGUUACAAAGCCCUCAACCUUUGGUCGUUCUUUUUAUUAUAAUAACCAUAAGUGCAGAGGGGCCUUUAGUAAAUACAUUUUAGCAAUUUUAAUUACUCUCCUUUACUCCUAUUGUGCUUUAUGAAGGACUACUUGGGCACUUUGUAAUAAGUUAUAAUUCUUCAUCUACUGAUUUCGUCAUCAGUAUAGAAAAUAAUUGUUUUAACAUUUCCUGUAUGUAUUUGUAUAAUGAAAAUUAAUUGCUUCAUGCUGUGAUAACACAGAUUGUUAUAAAUUUAUAAAAAAUAUAUUAUUAUAACAAUAAAAUUAAAAUUUCAAUUUUUAACCAACUAAACCACAUUAAUAUUGAAAUUGACAUCCUCAUAAUUGAGAGGAACAUAUUAAGAUUAAUUUUAAGCGUCCAAAAUAAUAAUUCGCAUAACUUUGCGUUGUUGCGUGAACUGAAUAACAUGAUAUGUGUGAUAAAAAGAUUUUUCUUCACCCAUAUCACGUCAGAAAGAACGCCUUUCCGUGCAUACAUUAACUUAGGAUUUAAAGUAGCUUGUAAAAAUAAUUUCUCGCAGCAGCUCAUGCAAAGAGGCGAUCUGUAUCUGUAGUAUUGCGUACUGACACUGUAUCUUAUGAUAACAUUAUUAAAAUAUAGUUAAUAAGCAUGCAUAUUAUUUACAUUUAUUUAUUUACUUGUCUUAGACUAGACUUGGUUAGCGAGAAAUUCAGAUCUACAUAACUGUUUAGUUUUUAAUUUAUGUAAUAUUUGUUUAUAAUGUAUGCACAUGUAGUUACCUCGUAGGUUGCUACAUAAGUCGAAGUAGAAAAUUUAUCGUAAUACGAUUUGUUAAUCCAGAAAUAAAUUUUAAAAAGAGAUUCAUAAUUCUUUCUUAAAAUUAAAUUACUGUUCUCAAAAUAUUUACACAAAUAUUCCGUACUUAUUAAAGCAAGGCCGCAUAUUAUUUAUGCGUUCGUGGUUGCGUUUGGAUUUAUAUGAGUCUGAAUGUCUGUGAAUCACGUCUAAACUCGACAAAUAUUCUUUUUCAAAUUAAUCUUCAUUUUCUAUAUUAUGUACGUAUAUAUGUCUGUUUUUGGUUUAAAAUAAGUAUAUGUAUAAUAGCUUUAGUCACGGCUAAGCCAGCGUAAGCUCAAAGUCAUACUUUUGUAAAAAUCCGAUAUUCUUUAGGAAUGAGUCUAUCAGUCAGUAAGCCAAGACUGAUAGAUAUUGUGCCGUAUAUGUUAAGGCCUAUAUUUGCCAUGCCUAGCGUCCUCAGUGUUAAACAGAAUAAUUAUUUAGAUUAAGAAAGUACUUAAAUAUUUAAUAUAAUCAUAGUUCUAAAUGCUAUGGUAGUAAUGCAAGUAGUUGUAUUAUAAUUUACGCACGAACAUUAGACUUAUAAUUUGCCAAUUGUGUCAAUUAAGAUAACGACUACUAUUAAGUUUAAUAUGCAAUGUUAUAUUUUGUAUUUCACAAUUAUUUUUGAAGUAAAACUUCUUUACGCAUGCUUGACUUUGGGAGUGAUUGACUGAGUAACGCAAGCGUUACGGAAAGUGUGAUCGGGAGAGACAAACGAAAGUUGAGAGGGAGAUGUACGUUAGUGAAGAUUGAAAGAGAGACAGUUACAUUUCAUAUGUUACUGUAGGAGCAAGAGAGAGAGAAGUUUUACUGCAAUCGUAUAUUAAGCACACUCGUAUUUAGUUCUUGAUUUAACCAAAAACUUAAUUUAUGUAAAAAUGCAUGUUAUUAAUUUAACCGUUCCCAGGGUUCAAGAUGAAAGUUCAUUUAAUGUAAU
rnacentral:lncRNA from 1 species